GGAGAGAUGGCUGAGUGGUUGAUAGCUCCGGUCUUGAAAACCGGUAUAGUUUUGAAAAAAAGAACUAUCGAGGGUUCGAAUCCCUCUCUCUCCU
rnacentral:tRNA from 1 species